rnacentral:lncRNA from 1 species
AAAUCAAUUUUUUUUCCCAUGUCCAUACAUCUUGAAGUUGAAAUGAUCACUUUGAGGACUUUUAGUAUCAAAACUUGUUCUUUUAGUAAAUUUUUUAUGUACGCCCUAAUUUGAUUGUUUAUAGCCUCGCAGUUAUGCAAAUGUUUUCCUUAAGGAAUAAUCUAAAUAGAAAGAAGAAAGUUAAAAUAAGUAUUCAUGACCAGAAUGCUUUCCAACUUUUUUCAAAAUGGCAUAAAACAAU